GACGAACGCUGGCGGCGUGCUUAACACAUGCAAGUCGAACGGAAAGGCCCUGCUUUUGUGGGGUGCUCGAGUGGGGAACGGGUGAGUAACACGUGAGUAACCUGCCCUUGACUUUGGGAUAACUUCAGGAAACUGGGGCUAAUACCGGAUAGGAGCUCCUGCUGCAUGGUGGGGGUUGGAAAGUUUCGGCGGUUGGGGAUGGACUCGCGGCUUAUCAGCUUGUUGGUGGGGCAGUGGCUUACCAAGGCUUUGACGGGUAGCCGGCCUGAGAGGGUGACCGGCCACAUUGGGACUGAGAUACGGCCCAGACUCCUACGGGAGGCAGCAGUGGGGAAUAUUGCACAAUGGGCGGAAGCCUGAUGCAGCAACGCCGCGUGCGGGAUGACGGCCUUCGGGUUGUAAACCGCUUUCGCCUGUGACGAAGCGUGAGUGACGGUAAUGGGUAAAGAAGCACCGGCUAACUACGUG
rnacentral:rRNA from 1 species